AGAGUUUGAUCAUGGCUCAGAUUGAACGCUGGCGGCAUGCCUAACACAUGCAAGUCGCACGCGAAAGGGGGCAACCCCGAGUAGAGUGGCGGACGGGUGCGUAACGCGUAGGAAUAUACCUGGUAGUGGGGGACAACCCGGCGAAAGCCGGGCUAAUACCGCAUACGAUCUACGGAUGAAAGCAGGGGACCGCAAGGCCUUGCGCUAUCAGAUUAGCCUGCGUCGGAUUAGCUAGUUGGUGAGGUAAAGGCUCACCAAGGCAACGAUCCGUAGCUGGUUUGAGAGAACGACCAGCCACACUGGGACUGAGACACGGCCCAGACUCCUACGGGAGGCAGCAGUGGGGAAUAUUGGACAAUGGGGGCAACCCUGAUCCAGCAAUGCCGCGUGUGUGAAGAAGGCCUUCGGGUUGUAAAGCACUUUCGAUGGGGAAAAACAAGCCAGACCUAACACGUCUGGCCCUGAUGGUACCCAGAGAAGAAGCACCGGCUAACUCUGUGCCAGCAGCCGCGGUAAUACAGAGGGUGCAAGCGUUAAUCGGAAUUACUGGGCGUAAAGGGUGCGUAGGUGGUUUGUUAAGUCAGGCGUGAAAUCCCUGGGCUCAACCUGGGAACUGCGUUUGAUACUGGCAGACUCGAGUCUGGUAGAGGGUAGUGGAAUUCCGCAUGUAGCGGUGAAAUGCGUAGAUAUGCGGAGGAACAUCAGUGGCGAAGGCGGCUACCUGGACCAAGACUGACACUGAGGCACGAAAGCGUGGGGAUCAAACAGG
rnacentral:rRNA from 1 species